UCGAUCUCCCUACUCUUCUUAUUAGAACAAUAGUCCCACACAAGCAGUACACGUCACAGAUCUGGUUUUGACCUUAAAAUAAUAUUUUUACAACUGCACAAUCAAAUUCUAAAAUACACAAUAAUUACUCAAUACAUUUAAGAUCCAAACGUUGUCAAUCUUACAUUAAUAAUAAAUAGAAUUCCUUAAUAUACAUAUAAAUAUAGAUAAAAUUAAAAUAAAAUAAAAUAAAACCUUUAAAAUCAGCACACAUUAAAAUUGUAAAAAGUCAUUCACUAAUUUGAUUUACACAAACAUAACAACAGACACAGAUUUGCUGGUUAACUUCCACCAAUUAUCUCAUCACCCUCAAGAACUCCUAAUUCCUAUAGAUUUGUUUACCUAUGCUGCAUCGCCCGUCUAUUCCACCACAUCCCGUUAACAUAACUUUAAAAGAAACAUCAUGAUAAUGAAAACUGAGUUGAUGGCUCCUUGUAUCCGAAUCAUUUUGUAACUUGUUACCUUUGACCUGAAGAUGCUCUACAAAGUUUAAAGAGCGAAACCGGUCGUCGGAAGUUAUAAUAAAGAUUGAGAGUAAGUCUGACUUUUACUUCAUUUAAAAUGAACUCUCACAUGCAACCCAUUCAAGAUUUGAAGAAUACGAUGAUCACCAAAACAGGAGAGUUAAAUCCAGAAAUGAAAAAAAAAACAGAUAAAAAAGGGCUGAAAACUCAAGUGAAGUGCAAGUUCUCACUUGUCCAAAUAUAAAGGCAUCUACAGCCUAUUACAAAACAAAACUUAAAGUUCACAAUUGGACUAUUUAUAACUUGGCAACACAUGAAGGCACAUGCUUUGUUUGGCACGAAGGUAAUGGAGGUGUAGAAAGUGAUGUAUUUGUUUCAAUGGUUGUGAGAUGUAUUUGAGAAAAGAGUUGGAAAAAAAACCAAGUAUCAAUGAAAUAAUUAUUUGGAGUGAUGGUUGCACUUACCAAAACAGGUGUGAGACUGUUUCAAAUGCUCUACUGUAUUUCACUUGCCAAAUAGGAGUAACUGUACAUCUGAAAUAUUUGGAAGUGGGACACACACAAAUGGAGGUAGACUCCAUGAAUAGCAAAAUAAAAAAAAAAGCUUAAGAACAAAUAGCAUUACGUUCCGGCCGACUUCGAGAGAGCAAUACGUGACGCAAGAACCCAUCCAAGCCCUUACUGUGUAGAAAUAUUAUCUUUUAGGGAUUUUCUUUGUUUUUCAAAUGGAUACUGCAAGAGUAUAAGGCCUGGUUCAAAAAAAGGAGACCCUUUUGUCACUGACUUAAGGUGCCUUAAGUAUGUAAAGGAUGGCCAUAUUUGCUACAAAUUAAACUUUUCAGAUAACUGGUUAGAGCUACCUACGAGACCGAAACCAAUUAAUGAAGUUUUCCUAACACUCAAUCCUCUGUACUCCAAAUCUCUACCAAUUCAAGACAGGAAGUACAAAGAGUUAAAAGAAUUAAAAGCUUGCCUUGAGGAGGACUACCACUUUUUUUACGACUACUUGAGUCAUGGCAACUAGAAAAAAAGUUUUACUUACUGUUUUGUUACAAAAAUGAGUAGAAGUUGUGUAAAUAAAAUUUUUAAAAAUGU
rnacentral:lncRNA from 1 species